CCAAUUUUCAUGUCCAUGAAGUGAUGGAAGUUUUUCACCCACUCAGAAGCUAAGUUUUGAUGCAUUUGCCUUCGAUGGCAUCAAAUAUGUCUUCUAAGGCCUUCUCUACACACUGGACAAACUCCCGGGCAUUGCGGCCUGGGUAGGAGGAGACGCUGCAGCCUAUCCAGUUGUCAUGAACAGCAUACCCAAUGCCAAAGCCAUCAGGGACCACAGGGGCAAAGCCACCAAUGUUCAUUGCUGGGCUGUUCAGAGUGCUCGUGGACAGGAUGUUGUGGUUUAUCUGCCCAUAUGCAGGGUCCAGGUAUAGCUCAGGCAGAGCAAUCCCCUUGGCUGCUGCCAGGUAACGCAGAGCAAAUAAGUGUCGGUCAAAGCCCUGGCCUGUCAAAGACAAAAUAGGAAACCAGAGUCUCAGAAUCCCGGAAUUAAGAGACCUUAGUAAAACCUCCCACCCAUAGUAGGAGUCCCCUUCACGGCAUCUUUGAGAGUGGAAGAAGGGUCUAUCUGCCUCCACAUGUGCACCUCCAACUCACUAACCUCUGCAGCAGGGCCUAAAAUUAAAGUAUGAUUUUUAAAAUUCUGAAACUGAGUUAGUUUAGUCAAGCAGUCAAGAAAAGUGCACGAAGAGAGCUAUGAAUUCAAAAGCCAAAAUAAAACCCAAAGUCCAAGUCAAGUGUAAAAGACAAGAUUGAGUCACUGGAAUAAAAUAUAAAGGGUAUUUGACCAGAGUUCUAAUCUCAGCUUUACUGCUAAUUUGUUGUGCAAUGCUGAGCCAGUGGCCUCAGUUUCCUACCCCUAAAAUGGAGAAGGGUGAGACCAGAAUGUCUUGGGAGAUCCCUUUUACUUCCAGGACUUUUGGCUGCAUGAAAAGGACAGGACUAUAUGGUCCUCCAAAUUCUUUCCGGGUCUCCGAUUUUACCACAAAGAGGCAAAGGAAGGAGGACACUUAGAUUUGGGAAGACCUUCGGAGAAGGCCUAUUGAUAGGGAGCCAACACACAAGUGAGGUGAAGCAAGAGAGGCCGCAGACUCAGAAAUCCUGAACUGUCAGAAGUUAGAUGGCCAAUAAAUAAUAAUAAAUAAUAGAAAGACAAUCAGCUGAAAGUGACCCUAAGUGAGGAUGAAGUUAGAUGCAUUUCUCCAUCCCUGCUUAGGAGGAAAAGAACAUUCUGAUCCCUAGGCUAGUCUGACUGUUUAGACUGCUAGGGUAGAAAAUAAUAAUCAUCUGGGAGUUGGCAGAUGGAUUAAACUGGGAAAGCGGUGGAAAUCAGACUUGGAGUAGAAGAAUAUUACUGAGGCUUACCCCAGAGCUGAGGGCAACACGACCCAAGGGCAUGCUCCCCAACCCCAUCUCACCCAUUGCUGCUUCUUUGGUCAGCUGGCUGUGGUACGUGGAGCACUUGGUUAUCAUCUGCUGAAGCUCUCCAGUACUGUGCUUGGAGGGCUCCCUGACGAAGGCCUGGGAACACCUCUUGGUGAAGAUGGAGGCCGGGCGGAUGGUCUCAGUGCGGCCGUGCUUGAAUGCUGCAGUGCUACAGGACUCGUAGGUGGCCACCGUCUGCCCAUACUGCCGCAAGAAGGCCAUCUGGAAGGCCAGCUGAGCCACCGAGUCAGGGCUCAGCUUCUGCUUCUUCAAGAACUCUUUGCCUCCUCUCUGAAACUGGAUGAGGUCGACAGUGAGGGUUUUCACGGUGGCAUUGAACUUUUCCUUAGCGGUGCUGAUGCCAGUCUUUAAGGCAUCGUUCAGCUUGAAGUUAAGCUUCUGCACGGCGACAGAAGAGUCCAUGCGGGCUGGCUGGCUCUGUGGGGUGACAGCAGGGGCCUGAGUGCUGUCUUUGAACACUUCGUUAAGAAACCUGAGCACCGCCACCCCAUCGCCCCAAGCAUGCUCAAUGUGGAUAGCAGCAGUGCCGUCCUUGGCCAUAAUGAGGUUAAAGGACUUAUCAAACCAGCGGUUUGUGCCGUCACCAUGCAGCAUGUUGUGACACAAGUGGACGAGGUCCUUAAUGGGGAAGUCAUCUAGGCAGAGACAGAACACAGCAGAGUCCACUUUCCUCAGGGCCUCCUCAUUGCCACCACUCGCCAGCUUCUGCCUGAGCUCUGCCCAGACGUCUCGGUUCUCGGUGGUCAGAUACGCCAGGGGAAACUCGGGGGCAGGGCUACUGUCUGAGAGAAUGUACUUCAGAUGAGCCUGGAUUUCAGAGGCACCCACAAUGUUUC
rnacentral:lncRNA from 1 species